CCAGUUAGAAUUCGGGAACUCAUCUAUCUAAGAGAAGCAGUACUAAAAUAAAAAAGAAACAAAUCAAUCCAUAGAUAUGCAACAAAUGUAAAGAGAAGGUGCUCUAUUAUCAAUAUUCUCCAGGACUUAAAAUAAGAAGACAAUUACAGAAUAUGGAUAAAUUCUGAUUUAAGUCCACACUUUUCACAGAAUGAAAAACUAUUCUUUCAACAACAAUAACCUGGCAUGUCAAAUAAGCCUCCCAAAAAUCGAGAACAAUAACAUGCUCUUAUCUAAUACUAAACUAACGACAGAUACAAUGACAGAGUCAACAACACGUGAAAUGCGCGCAUUUGAUUCGUGUGGCAACAAGGGUUAGUGGCUUCAUCAAACUUACUAAAUGUUCCUAAAAGUAGUAUCUAUCAAUGCCAUUGAUAGGCAAUCAGAAGAAUCCAGUUUAGUGUCUAACAGUCUGUUGUUCAGUUAAUAUAGACUUCUUUAUUUUUCAUGUACAGGAAAUUCACGAAGAAGAACAGGGAAAAACUAAAGCAUGUUGACAAACAACUGGGGAAAAUUUGUAGUUUUGUAAAGGUAAAAUAUUUUGGACUUGUGGAAUCAGGGGAUUAUUACUUAUAGCCAUGUUGCCAGUAUAUUGCAAGGUAGAGUUGCACAAGCAGAAGUAAAUGACAAAGAGCUAUAGAUACACAUUGGAGUGAGGAAUUUAUAAUUUUAUAGCUCAAAAACUCAUCCUUCCAAAAUCCAAAUGAAGUUUGAAUCAUCCAAAUAAUGAAGUCUGUCUAUAUAUGUUAACCUAAUACACUUCACAAACGACCUCCAAAUUUAUGUCUUCUCUGUUCUCACCAUAGGUAGCCUUCUGAAUGCCCAUUGCACAAGCCUAUUUUUGCAUGAGAGAGAUAAUUGAAGUUACACAAUUGACAUGUUGAAAAUCCAACUCUCAUGUGAAAUACCAUCCAAACAAACUCAAAAACUUGAAUAUUGCAAUUUAUCUGGAUCCGUGGUUUUAGACCAGCCAUUACUUCAAUACAUCAUGAUUACAAUAAUCAAAUAACCUCUAGCCCAUGCCCAAGACAACUACUGGCAGUACAAAUAAACCCCGAGGAGUGUGUUCUCAUAUAAAACAUUCAGCCCUACCUAUUCUCACAUGCAGUGCGUAGAAAGCCAGCUAUCACCUUGCACGAAAAUAAAAUCCACACUUGCAUAUGGCUUUGGUUUUUUCAGGUCAUGAUAGAGAAAAAGUAGUUUAAAUACCCAACACGGCAAUUACAGGCAUCCAAACAAUACUUUCUUCCUAAAUAACGAAAGUUCUGCCUAUAAUAGAUGGUAAAAUAGUUCUUCCAAUAAUAAUUUACAAUUAAAAUUAUUAUACAAUCACUGCUUCACCCAUAAUUAAAAAAAUGUCUUGAAGUUCAAACAUAAUUUUGUUUUGGCUUGUUUUCUUAUCUUCCAUACAUGAGAUUUCGUGAACAAAAUGCAAAAGAAACCAAGGACUAAGAAAUCGAAUUCCCACAUGAUUGCACUUGGUCUACAAAAAUGUUGAGAAUCCUUGUCAAUUAAAAGCUAACUGCUUCUUUUUUUCCCCUUCCCCAAUUUUCCUAUAUAAGGCUAAAACCCAGAUAUUUUUACCACAAUAUAGUUGAUCUACAUAACAUAAUUACUUGGAAGCAAAUAAAAAAAAAAAAAAAGAAGAAGGAGAAAAAGCUUCCAAAUGAGCCACAGUUAGUCUGAUUCCAGUACUUUUUUUUUUUUGAGUAUUGUCAAAUAUAUUUACCAAUAUAGAUGUUUCACUUUAUCCAGUACUUUUUUUUUUGAGUUUUGUCAAAUAUAUUUACCAAUAUAGAUGUUUCACUUUCUUUUUUGCAACCACAAAUUCUUUGGAAACAAUUAUUAAUCAAUAUUUUUUCAUUACUUAGAUACUACUAUAUAGUAUAUACUAUGCAGAAAGUUAUUUAAACCAAAAACUACGGAAGACGGAAAAAAUUACGUGAACUUGAGAGUCAGCUGCAUAGUUUAUUAGUUUUGAAUAGGAAAUCUCAAAACCUGUAAAAAGAAACUAUGAGACAGAGAAUUAUAGAAAGAAACGAAAAAAAAAAAAAAAAAAAAAAAAAAAAAAAAAAAAAGAGCCAACAUCACCGCCUGUCCAGUUUAUGCUGCUCCCAACACAAAUUGCAAAGGGAAGGAAUUUUAUCACCAGAAGAGAAAGAAAAAGUAAUUCUAAACUCAGAAACAGAGAGAAAAAAUAUACAAGAUUCAAAAGUAAAAUCAUCACAAGUGGACAAAUAUUUUGAAAAAAGAAAAAAUUAAAACUGAAGCAAGAAAUAACCCUAAAUCCUAAUACACAUACACAAGACGAUAUCGCGAUCUUGAAAUGUUGACAAGAACCAAAGACAAAAGUGAAGACAACUGCUAGGAUUUCAGUAAGCAAAAGUGAAGAGAAGAACGUUUUCGAAUGAUCAGGAGAAAAGAAGAGAAGAUAUUUUUGUAUACAUUGGGAAGACAAUUAAACCCAUAAGAAAUUAAGAUGCCUUUUUGCGGGUAAGAUGGGGAAAACGAAAAUUCUACGUGAAUGAACAGUGGAGGGAUUAUUCCCUCUUUUAAGAGAGGAGGGAAGUAUGAUUAGUUAAGGCAGAAAGUGGACUCAUCAAAUUACAAAUGGAUAUUCUAAUGUAAAUCAUAUACUGAACUAAUGAAUUCAAUGAUGUUCUUUUGAAAAUCAACUUCAUGUUUUCGUACAAGUUUUUGUGUUCAUGUAUCUAUUUGUUGAUGUUAACUAUUUUCUAAAAAUCAUUCGAACUUUUUAAAAUCUUACCCCAGAGACUAUAUAGCUAUAGUUAUCAAUUUAACCAACUCUAACCUUGAACUAAACCAAAUAUGAAGCUUUCUGACUUCUUAAAAAAAUUUGACAUAAUUAAAAAAAACACAGAAGGAAAAAAAUUAAAACCCUAAGAAUAAAGAGUUAGAAAAAAUGAAUUUAAAAAAAAAAAAACUCUUGAAAACUUUUGUUUAUGUUAUAAAUAAUUUUUUUAAUUUUAAAUUCUCUUUAAUUAUUUUCUCUCCAUGAUAAAAAUUAACUUUUUUCAAUUUUAAUUAAAUAAUAUUUAUAUAUUCUAUAAAGCUAUAGUCAUCAAUUCCACCAACUCCAACCUUAAACUAAACCAAAUAUGAAGUUUUUUGACUUUUCUAAAAAAUUUGACAUAAAAAAAAAAAAAGAAAUUAAACCCCUAAGAAUGUAUAUAGAGUUAGAAAAAAUGAAUUUAAAAAAAAAAAAAAAAAUCUUCCUUCUCCAUCCAGGCGGUUUCCAUUUUUUUCUUUUUUGUUUUUGUUCAUAUUAUAAAUAUUUUUUUUUUCGAUUUAAAAUUCUUUUUUAUUCUUUUCUCUCCAUGAUAAAACUUAAUUUAUUCAAUUUUAAUUAGAUAAUAUUUAUAUAUUUUUUAUUUAAUUUUUGUAACUUUCUUUUGUUUAAUUUGUUUUUUUUAUUAUAUAUAUUUUGAAAAUCGUUGAACUUUUUAAAAUCUUACCCAAGAGACUAUAGAGCUAUAGUCAUCAAUUCCACCAACUCUAACCUUGAACUAAACCAAAUAUGAAGUUUUCUUACUUUUCUAAAAAAUUUAACAUGAUUAAAAAAAAAAAAAAAACACACAGAAGGAAAGAAAUUAAACCCCUAAGAAUAUAGAGUGAGAAAAAAUAAAUUCAAAAAAAAAAAAAUUACAAUACCUCCAUCCAUGAUUGGGGGUUUCCAUUUUUUUUUUUUUUUUAAUUUGUUUUGUUCACGUUAUAAAUAACUUUUUUUGAUUUAAAAUUCUUUUUAGUUCUUCUCUCUCCAUGAUAAAACUUAAUUUUUUCAAUUUUAAUUAAAUAAUAUUGGCAUGAACAAAAUCCCAAUUCCUGAAAUUCCAUUCCCAAAAUAACAUUCAUUUUUUUUUUUCACAAACAAAGAUAGAGGCAUUAGUUUACAAAUGUGCUCAAUUCAAUCAAUCUCACAAAAAAAUCAAAAUCCACAAUCUCAACCCUAUAAGAAAUAAACUUUACCUAUGGAAUAGAGCAAGUGACUGCGGAAACCUGGUGAAUUGGAGAACGAAGUGUAGGUGCAGAGUCGGCCUACAAAUUAGCUGUCAUCAAGAAGGUAAACAUGACAAUACUGAAAGGAAACAGUCAAACAGAAGAGUGUUGGCACACUCUCUUAAUUUUAAAUAUGCAAAUAACUUCAGUGAAUCUCUUCCCAUUUCAAAUCAACAGUUAAAUAGAAAGGUAGUGAUUACAUGAACUAAGGAGACAAAAAAAUAAAUAAAGGAACCAAAUAAGGUAAACUAUUGAAUUUUUAUUAGCAGUCUUUCAGCACCAUGUGAAGGUUUUCCUAACAAUCCGAUCAACUGCAGGUGAAGCAAGUGCCACGAUACCUUAUUCUGAAAUCUCCAAAUUUAAAUUUCUCUCUGUCAACAUCCCAUAAUUCUAAAUGAUACUUUCUUAAACCUCCCAAAAGAGGUCCCUUAGAGCCUCUCCAAUCUCUUGGUAACAGAGACAAGAACAUUAUAUAAGGACAGGGAAAAAGAUGGGGAGGCUGGUGGCUUACUCUUGAGUAAAUUCAAUUACCUUCCUUUGACAAUUAAAACUUUUCCAGCUAGCCAACUUGUCCCCUAAAUUCUCCACAAUAGGAUUCCACAUAUCAACAAACUUGAAAUUAGAUUCCAAAGGCUAGAAUAUCUGCCAACUCAUUAAAUUUAGCACUUGCCAUGGGGAAUAGUAAAUUCAUAUAACUUCAGGUCUCAAACCACACAACACAUUCCAUAGACACCACAAUUGACUCUAGUCACUAUAAAGCACAAUGAGAUCAUCAAUGAACCGAAGAUGGCCAACAAACACAAUCAACGUGAUCAGAACUUAUGAAGCCCAGAAAUUGACACGGCCCCUGAGAAGCCAACACUUCAAAAAAAAGUCAAUUAGAAUUCUUUAAUUUUAGUUUUAAUUUUUCAAUAACAUCAAUACUAUUUUUAGCUCUGAUUUUGAAACUUGCAUGUAAAACCUUUUGAAUCAAGGAUUUUCUAAUAUUACUUAUGUUAGAUAGAUACAAAACAAAAAAUUCAAUAUGAAAUUCGUAGAUUCAAACUAAUUUGACAUUUUUAACAUUUUUUUUUUUGUAAUAACUAAAUACUUCAUAAUUUGAAGUCAAAAAAUUUACACAAAUUUGUGAAUUCAUGUUGUUGAUAGAUUGAAUAAAAAAAUUAAAAAUAUAUAAAAACUAUAUAAGCUGACAUCAACAAACCACCUUAGGAAUAUCCAUACUUCAUAUAUCAACAAGGGCUGAAACCCCUAAUUAAGAAUCCUAUGCUUAACCUUUUUUAUAAGCUUGUAAAUGCUUAUAUGCCCAUCAACAAUAAGAGGGAAGAUAAGAGAGACCCUCAUACAAUUCCCCUUAAAUUUCUAAAAAAGCCGCAAGAGGUCCAUUCAACAAAAAUGGAGAAUUUGACGAUAAACAAGCAGAGAAAGAUAAAAUGUCUUCAUUUAGCUCCAAAACACGCAUACACUCCUCGAGUCAACAUGGUCAUAACUCAAACUUCCCAGAAUCAGGUUCAGAGAGCAACUUGGACCACUCUUUGAAUGUGUAAUCCAAAAAUUCAUUAGUAGUAACUUUAUAUCCAAAAUCUGCCUGCCCCUCACAAAGGCAUCCUAAGAAAAAGUUAAGGUUGCGAUCAACACUUGUUUCCAUCCUAAGAGCUAGAUCUUUUUGCAAUAACUUCAGCACUAUCAGUCAAGCCGAUUGCUAUAGUCUCUGACUUCACAUCCCUUUUUUGUCUUAGGCAACAAAGCCACAAAGGUAUAAUUUAAACUCUUUUCAAAACAACCUUUGUACCCUUUGAUACUUUUUAUACCCGCUACUUCACAGCAAAGGCAGAAAAGGCUAAUGUGAAGCCAUCAAGUCCAGGAGAUCAGGCCAAUGUGACUACAACCUAAAUCAUUCCCUUUACUGGAUGAAUCAAGUUGAGCAUUUCAAAUUUAAGCAGCAUUCAGCAUUUUUUUUUUAGUCCCAGUUCUCGAAACAAACCAGGUUGUAGGUAACUUUGACUUGAUCCCAUAAAUUUUUUCAUUGAUGGUAUAACUAAGCUUGAAGUGAAAUUGAAUUGUCUAUCCAUAGUGAAGAAACGCUUAUCAAACAUUCAGUGCACAUUUUUCAGAUGGAAACUGGCACAGAUGAGUAUUCUAUAGUUUAGCGUCAGUUUUUCCUGCUGUCAAGCGUAAUGCAGUGCAUACUGACAGGGGCAUAGCAGUUCAUGUCUUGGUUGCCAUGACCUAGAGAAAAUAGGUAUGUGGUACUGAUGGGAUGAUCUUGGGUACUCUAUAGAUAAGUAACUCAAAUACACUCUUUGAAGACACUUGCUAGCUAUCAAGAACAUGGAUAUUGAAAGUUUAGUCUCAUCUAAAUUUUAAGCUGAAAAUGACAACUCUUGACGCACUAACCCAGCUAUAUGCAAACUGGACCUCUUAAAUAGUCUGAACUUUCACUCAAUACCUAUUGGACCUCUUAAGCAGUCUCAACUUUCACUCAGUACCAGAUUUUAUACAAACUUUUUCAUCCCAAGUCUACUUUAUCCUUCAAGAUGUGAAACAGGUGGGGGUCGCAAAUCUACUCUUAAUGAUUCUGAAGAUAUGGCAAAACAGAUUUCCCAUGUGAAUAACAGUCUCCGGAAUCAAAGUCCCUGUACUUUUCUUGAAUAUCCACAACCGACUGCACAUUAUUUUCAGAUCAGUUUCGUUCCAUAUGUCUUGAUUAAUAAUAAUAAAUUUUUACCUGAAUAUUUCAGGUGACCAACCCAACUUAAAAGAUGAGAAACUAUGAGUUUUUUUCAUUCUUUUAGGUCAAUGAAUUGAUGUUCUAGCAAAAACAAAAAGUAGAAAGGCAAUCUUAAAAUAGAAUAGCACAGCUUUAGAGACAACAGUUAUCCAGAAUUAUAAGGGACCAUUGGCAAUCAAUAAAUAAGAAUCUUCGAUGAUUGAGAAACUAAGAAAUGGAGAUAAAGCAUAGAUCUUUAGAAAAACAUAAUACACACACUUAUUUACAUAUACACCAGAGCUGCAAUGCAUACCAUCUCCAAUAAAUCGACAAAGUACAGCGGGCUAGACAAGCAAGAUGCCAUUAACAAUUUGCAGCGUAUAUUACCAUAAACUACAAUGAGUGCAAAAAAUUGCUCUUUAGUCCUCAGAAAAAUGUUUCUUUGCAUAAUAGUAGAGAAUUAGCACGUCCAAGGAAAACAAUAAAAUUUCCAUAAAUCAGAGAAACGCCAAAGAUUAAUCGCUUCGGUGCCGAUAUUAUUACAUUAAUACCCACAAUAUAGAGAGACAAGCUCACACAAUUUAGAGGAAUUCGUAAAAUCAAUACAAAUAUGAAAGAAAAAAAAUUGUAAUUCCAAUUCCAUGCUACCAAAGGCGCUUCUAGAUUAUACAUACAUAUCUACAAGAUCCAAAUUUGGAAACAAUAAAUCAAGAAAACAAGCAAAAAAAAAAAAAAAUCGCACACAAACACGAUUCAGAGGAAACCCUCUGCAAAACCCAGAAAUUAAAACAACUGGAAGAAAACAUAUACAUAGAAAUCUUAUAUAUACCUUGAUCUUUGGAAAUCCAGAAUAAAAUAUAAUCUUGAUUCUUGGCCUGUAUACUGUAUAGUAUACAGUUUUACACUUUUACUUUGUCGUGUUCCCACGAAUUUAUUACCCAAAAUCGGAAAUCCAGAGUCUCUUCUAGUCUUCUGUAUGCAUUUCCAUUCAAAUCCCAGAAAAUUCUGGAAUAAUAGUUCCUAUUGUGACUUAUUCAAACAGUUUCUUGUUUUUAUUAUACUUAUAGAUAUUCAACUUUAUAGUUUCGUACAAACUACAACACAUAGCAUUUUUUUAUUGUGCAUAAAAUGACAAUACAUCAAUAGAUUCAACACCUCAAAAUUCCGGCAAAAGAAUUGAAGAUGAAGUGAUGAAUCGGAAAUGACAAUACCUCAAAUGUGGUUGCCACCAGUGACCAAGACCGUUUUCUUUCUGGAAUUUGGCUUGGUUUGUUACAAAAAUUUGCUAAUUAAUGCUCCGUGAAUUAGGAGGGGGAAAAAAAAAGGCUGCUCCGUGUGCACAUGCACUCCAAAUUGAAUGAAUUGGAGAAAAUAAGAAUAAAAGAGAUUUAUAUAAACCAAUCAAUCAACAAAGGAAGAUGCAGACUCGAACAUACUUGCAAGCGUAUUUAAAUCCAAGUAAUUUAUAUUUUCCAUGAAUCAAUUGAACAAAAUAAAAAUAAAAAGAAAUUUACACAACUAUCGAGAAAGGAAGACGAACAAUCGCAAGUCUAUUUGAUUUUUAAAAGAAAAGAAAAAAGAAAGGUAAAGAAGAUGAAUCGUACAGGAAUAUCUUCAUUCCAAUUCUCAAAUGCCACAUGGAAAAAAGAUUAUAUAGUCAAGCAAAUUUACAUGUACAAAAGCAAACAACUCCAUUGGGAAGGGAAAGGCAAAAUAAAUACUAAAUAAUAAUAUGUACCCUAAGGGCCUGCUUGAGAGUUUCACCGGAGCGGUAAUAGGAGGUUUUUAAAGUAACGGUUACGGGCGGAGCGAUUUUAGUAGUGGUUCUUAAAACCCCCUAACUCACGAUUGGGAGUUUAGUAUCCACUGAUUUUGAAAGUUUUUUAAAAGGAUAAGAUUACGUAUUUGCCCUUAGUAAAGUUUUCUAUAUUAAUUUGUUUUACUCAUAAGUGACAUUUUACUUAUAAAUAUUUUUUUCCAUAAAAGUUAAAAUCUAAUUUUAAAAAUUAAAUAAAAAUUUAAAUAUUCACUUAAAAUUUUAAGUUAAUAUUUUUACUUAUAAGUAACUUUUAAAUUAUAUAAGUUAAUUUUUUUCUUUUAAAUAACUUUAUGUAAUUUUUUUAUAAGUAAUUUUUUACAUUUUAUAAUAUUUUUUGUUUUAUUAGAAGUAUUUUUAUUUUUUAGUAAUUUUUUUACUUAUAAGUAACUUUUGAUAAAAUAUGAUUUUUUUUAUCUUAAUAAUAUAAUUUUUAUUAAUAAUAUAAUUUUUUUAAAUUAUAAAUAUUUUUUAGUUAAUAUAUUUUAAUAUACAAAUUAGUUUUAAACAAAACACACUAGACCAUAAGUGGGCGUUUCUUAAACCGCAGGUUUUGGGCGUACCGAUUAUGGGGUGUUAUAAGAAACGGUGAUUGGUAGUUUUUUUGGGGCAUUGGUUUUGGGCGGUUUAAGAAACACCCACCAAUGGUGGUGUAAAUUUGAGGGAUUCUCCCAACUCCUGAUUUGGGGGGUUUUGGCCGUUUCUCUUUUUUUAUUCUAAUUUUAUCCUUUAUAGAAUAAUCAUUUCCGACCAAUAGGUUUUGUUUAAAACUAAUUUGUAAAUUAAAAUAUAUUAACUAAAAAUAUUUAUAAUUUUAAAAAAUUAUAUUAUUAUUAAAAAAAUUAUAUUAUAAUUAAAAUAUUACUUGCAAGAUAAAAAAUUAUAUUUAAUCAAAAAUUAAUUAUAAGUAAAAAAAUAUUUUUUAUGUAAAAAAAUUACUAAAAAAUAAAAAUAUUACUCAUAAAACAAAAAAUAUUUAUAAAAUGUAAAAAAUUACUGAUAAAAAAAAUUACAUAAAGUUAUUUAAAAGGAAAAAAAUUAACUUAUAUAAUUUAAAAGUUACUUAUAAUUAAAAUUAUUAACUUAAAAUUUUAAGUGAAUAUUUAAAUUUUUAUUUAAACUUUAACUUAUAUGAAAAAAAUAUCUAUAAGUAAAAUGUCACUUAUGAGUAAAACAAAUUAAUAUAAAAAAAAACUUUACUAACGGCAUAUACGUAAUCUUAUCCUUUUAAAAAACUUUCAGAACCGGUGGAUACUAAACUCACAAUUGUGGGUUGGGGGUUUUAAAAAACGCUGCUCGCUCAGAAUCGCUACUUUAAAAAACACCGAUAACCGCUAAGGCGAAACUCCCAAGCAAGCCCUAAAUAAAUUAGAGUUAAUUGUUUCAUUAGCCACUGUACUUUAUACAAUGUCACAACUUACCCAUCGAACUUAACAAUGCUUCCAGAUGGCCACUGAACUUAUGUCCGUCUCACUAAAAUGGGCACCAGAUGGGAUUCCGUCCGUCAUUCUAUCCACGUGGAGGACGGAUAGCUGACUUAGAUGUUAAUAAGUGGUGAAACGGUACACGUGGGUGACAAAUCAUCCAAACAAUCCCUUACCCCUUUUCCAAUUAAAACCACUCCCGUCUUCGAGUUAAUUAAAUCAAUGCUCAUCAACAUUUGCAUCAGGUUACUACUUGCUCAUAAAAAAAAAUUGGUAACUAAUUGCUCACCCACUUUUGAAAAAGAUUACCCAUCCAUCACCUUUCAAUUUUCAUCCAUCCAACUAGACAAAAAUGUCCGUGUGGCGGAUUAAAAUCUUAUGUGGUCACUGACUCCAUUUAAAUUGGAAAAUCAUAGUAAAUUUAAAGAGGCCAUUUCUCUUCAAAGGUCAGAAUUGUUCUUUAUUCUACUCAUCUUCCUCCAAUACUUCUUCUCCCAAAUCAGCUUCUCAUCAAUGGAAUCUCAGAUCAAGACUUUCAAAUCAAAACAGAAAUUGAAAAACCCUCAAACUUGACGUCUGCUUCCCGCUUUAUGCGUGUAAAUAUACCAAAAUUUUCUCCACUGCUUCGGUUUCCUGUAUGUGUAUAUAAUUCCAUUAAUUUCCAGUCAAAAGUAGCCUCCAAUUCUCUUCUUUUCCUCUAGGCUCCUGCCGCCUUUUUGCCUUUGUUAUUGUGUGUAUAUAUAAUACAUUUAAGAAGCUGCCAAUGUGUGUAUAUAUAAUAGAAUUCAGCAGCAGGCAGCCAAAUCUCGUCUUCUCUGUGCAUGUGUAUAUAUAUAUGUAACGAAAAAAGUAUGCUGCACUGUCGGAGUCAAUUUUCCGACGGUGUUUGUCGAUUGAAAAUUGCUGGAAGGGCUUGAAGAAAUAUUGGGUGCCCAUAUUUUCGGUGAAUUGGUGUCUCGUCUGAGAGAAGCUGAAGCCUUUUGGCUCUGAUUAUUUGAACAACCAAGAAAAUCUAGGAUCGAAUUAUGCAUUUUCCCCAUUAUUAAUUAUUUUUUCUGAAAUCUGAACAAAUUUCAACCCAGAAAACAGAGGUUGAGGAAUGUGCAACUUAUACAAAUUUUUGGCUUAUUUUUUGGGUUUCUAUUUAUUGAAAAAUAAGCUGCUUUUUCAAUAUAAGAAUUUCCAAUGUGGCAAUUUUUAAUAGAGUUAGUGGCCACAUUGGCUUUUCAUCCUCCACUUGGACAUUUUUGCCUAGUUAGAUGGAUGGAAAUUGAAGGGAUAAUGAAUGGGUAAUCUUUUUUAAAAGAGUAAUGCUAUUUAGUCUCGAGUUCAUUUCCAAUCUAAAUGGCAUUAAUGUGUCAUUAAAUGAUUGGUGAAAUUAAAUGACUUAUUUAAUUUCACAUUUCAUUCAACAUAUCAUUUAAUGCCACCUAGACUGUGGAUGCAACCCUAGUGACGAUACAUAGCAUUAUUUUUUUUCAAAAGUGGGUGAGCAAUCAGUUAUCAUAUCUUUUUGGGUGAGCAUGUAGUAACAUCGUGCAAAUGUUGUUGAGCAGUGAUUUAAUUAACGAACCGCGUUGGGGUGCCAGAACAAAUUUGGCACCCCAACUGACAGAUACUCAGAGCCGGGGUGCAUGGAGGGAGGGGUUUUUACAUUUUUUAUUCAAGUGGGGUUGGCGCAGGCGCCAUAUGAUUUUGAGGAUCUGUUAAAAGGAUGAGCAAAUGGCUUUUGACAGCAUGGUUUUUUCCUUAAUUAACUUCGGACCAUGCUGUGUGCCGACCGUGCGGCACACAGCACGGUUGACAGCCCCCUCACAUCGGAGGGGGCUCGCACACAUUUUAAAAAAAACUGGGGUGGGGCCCCCUCAUUGUGAGGGGGCUGUGAACCAUGAUGUACAGUAAGUGUUGUACAUCUGGUUUAAUCCAUUAACUCCCUGUCUUCACAACCUCCAAGCCCUAACCCCAUUCUUACAGUGUGUUUUCUACUGCAAAACUUGAAACCCGAAUUCACGCCGAGAACCCUAACCCCGAAGUCCGAUUAAAACUGUGCCCAUUCCAAUUCAGUUUCUUGUAGGUGAAAUUGGCAAGCAAUAUUCGUAGCACUAACCCCCAAAUCCAUUUCGACUAUCCAUUUUUAUUCGGCUUGCAAUAGGUGAAAUUGGAAACCACGAAUUGCACACUGAAAGUCCACUUUCUAUAAAGGUAUUAUACAUUUGUGGUUUAAUUUUUUAUUUGAAUUCAAAGGGCCGUUGUGUGUUGAAAAUUUGGGGUGGUUUUUAAAUUUGUGGUUUAAUUACAUGAACGAAAAUUAUGGUAAUCAGCUUGAGUACUUUAGGAAAUGCCAAAUGAAACCGGAUAAUUGAUAUGGAUUAAACAAUGUUUAAAGCCUAAUUACUUCUAUGAAUUGAAGACUACCACUACUGAUAGAUGUUGUAUGAAUUGCUGCAUGUUCUAUUUAACAAAAUAUUAAGUAAGUGGAACACUUGAAAGCUAGAUGUAAAUAUUUUUUUAAUUUCUUGGCUUUUACUUCAGAAUGGCAGGGAGGAAAAACAGGGGCAUUUGUCAUCUAUGUUAAAGACAGCCAGUCAAAUAAAAGAUGAAGAAAUUGGAGAUAUGCUCAAGACUAUUGAAGAUCAAAGGAGGUCACGUAUCAGGAAGGUGCUAGAAGCAUACAGUUAUGCACUGGAAUGAGGGUGCUGCUGAACAUGCUUGAUGCAGUUAGAAUAGAUUAUGUUGACCCUAAAGAAUGUUGCCAGCAGAUGUUGGAUUCACCCGCGCACAAGUGAGCGAAAGUUCAACAUGCUAAGACACGUGAACGGUCUAAAAUAGACGGAUCAAAGGCAUUGGAGUAGUUCAACGACGCAGGAUGGGAACGUUCGAAAUUCGGCAAGAUAGUUCGUGGAUCGAUUGUACAAUAAUUACCAAUCGGUGUUUGUAAAUGUGUAAACUUGUAUUGUGUUGCAAAAUAAUAAGAGAGAGUUGAGUAAAGUGUUGUUUCUUAUGUUGAUUCUUGCAUUAGCCUUUCUAUGGGGUACAUGGGGGAGCAUUUAUAGCGUCACGAGUUAGAUCAUGACCUUUGAUUUGGGGUACACGUGUCCUCAUCCGAUUAAUUUACAUGUCAAAUUGUAGGCAUCAGCCACACCUAGCCUACUAUACAUUGAUUAAUUGGCUAAGCCGCCUCUACUUGUGAUUAGACUCAACAUUUACACUCAUAACAAACGUCUUAUCAAUCAUUCAAGUAAGAUCUUUAUGUAGAAGAUCUCUUGGGAAGAGUGUCUAUAGAAGAUGCUGCUUUGUGGUUCGGAAGCUUCCACCUCGGUGUCAGAGCUUCGUACAACAGAGCCUCGAUCACUUUCAAAGGGUCUCGGCAUAUAGGCUUCGGAAGCUUCACAAGAGGCUAACAAUAUAUGGGCCUUGAAAUAUAUUGACAUAGGCAUUUGUGGACCUCGAUUGGUAGGCCUCGGCUAUGCAAAUCACCUCGGCUCCGGUGCCACAUGGUUUGGCAUGAGUUGGCUAUGGGCCCGAGUGGGUUGCCCAAGUAUGUAAACAUGUAACAAUAGUCCCCCAAGUCCAAGUAUAGUUAUUUAUGUAAUGCGAGGACUUUGAUGAAGUCAAUUGGUUAAAUCGAAAGAAAUUUUUGAACCCCAAAUAAUAAUCAUCCAAGUCCAAGUAUAGAUAUUCAUAUCAUGGUUGGAGUUAGAAAUGUGUUAUGGUAUUAUGAUGAGGAAGCCGAGGUGGCUGAGAAAUCGAACCUGCGAGGUUUGAUGGCUGAAUGUUGAAGAGGAAGCCGAGUGGUUGAGAAAUCGAACCUGUAAGGCUUGAUGGCUGAAUGUUGAAGAGGAAGCCGAGGUGGUUGAAAAACUGAACCUGUGAGGUUUGAUGGCUGAAUGUUGAAGAGGAAGCCGAGGUGGUUGGGAAACCGAACUUACGAGGCUUGAUAGAAUGUUGAAGAGGAAGUCCAGGUGGUUGAGAAAUUGAACCCGCUAGGCUUGAUUGCUGAAUGUUGAAGAGGAAGCCGAGGUGGUUGAGAAAUCGAACCCGUGAGGCUUGAUUGCUGAAUGUUGAAGAGGAAGCCGAAGUGGUUGAGAAAUCGAACCUGUGAGGCUUGAUGGUUAAAUGUCUGAGGCUCAUUGAUAAUAAUUGUUCCUCGACAAUUGUGCCAAUGAUUUGAUGUUUUGCACAUAUUUUUGAGGAAGCUGGCUGAACCGUUACAACUUUCAAGACGCCUGCUGCCGUCGAAUUAAAGUCGUAAUCAUGAGAAUAGCUGGAGCUUCUAGAAGCAGACGCGAUGGGAAAGGUGUGUGGGAGACACGCUUAAAUUUGAGGUAUAGGUUUGAAAAACCAUUUGAACCCUACGCCUCGAAUUUGUUUUAGAAUGAAGGGUCUAGAUUGGAUGGGCUUUGAUUAGAUGGUUGGGGUUCGUCCUGGCCCUUUAUAAAAGGCGAGAGAGCUCCAUUUUUCUAGAUUUUUCAACCCUUGCAAUCUGAUUCAUUCUUCCAAAGCUUAAGUUUUCCGAUGUUACAGCUGUUUGUUCUCUGGUUUUCCGGCACAAUUCCGUUCGCGUAGUUAUUCCCGUAGGUAUUUUCAUAGAAAAUCCCUUGUAUUGUGUUCUUAGUCGUUUUCUAAAAUGGAGUCCACCUCGGGUAGGGAGUUGGUCACUGUCGUGUCAUUCGGCCAGGGGGCUAGUCACAGGAGGACUCCAAGGUUGAGCAGUAUGCUAUGACUGAGGAGGCAGUAGACUAAAGUGAAGAAUGGGGGCGUCUAAAGUGUCUUCAAAUAUGACAUGGAAGAGGCCGGGGAAGAUUAGGGAGAGGUACUAUGUACCUCAUUAUGUAGAAAUAUUAGUGCCCGAGGCCCAUGAGCGAGCCUGCUAUCUGAGGCCCAAAUGCGUGGCGGUGAGCGAGUACCUAUUUAAGGAAGGUAUGCAUCUUCCUCUGCACCCCUUCUUCAGGGCGGUGCUAAGGAACUUUAUGUUAUCGCCGACCCAGGUUCUACCAAAUUGGUGGAGCCAGUUGGUUGGCUCGUACUUCCUAUGAAAGGAAGUGUCACUUGGGGAGGACAUACCUCUCCAUGUCUUUAUAACCCUAUUCCAGCCUUGGAUAAUAGUUAAGGAGUCAAGGGGGUAAUAUUACUUAACUCCUUGGGAGACUCAUGCACCAUUUGUGGUGGGGUUGCCUUCUUCCAUUAAGGGAUGGAAGGAGUCGUGGUUCUGGAUAAGGGGCAGGUGGUAGGCAGUGGAGGGGGAUAAAACCCUAGCUUGCACAGUACCGAUCCAGUACUACGAAGCUCGUAAGUCUCCCUACCUAAGUAGUUUGCAUUCUGUAUUCAAAAUUUCUUUUUCUAACUAUUGAGGCUUCUUUUGUAGAUAGUAGUACGAGGUUCGAGUUGAGCAAAAAGGAGUUUGAAGUGAUAGAGGACAUUUACAAGAGACCUCUAAAGCUUCGCCACUUCGACCACCUUAUCGACCGAAGUCGCUACUUUCUUGAUUUUGAACUGAUGGCCUCCAAGGGUAAGAAGUUCAUAUACUUGUGUAUUUCUUGCUUUUGGUUUUGAUGCUGAUGCAUUGACAUGUUCUGUAGAUAAGUUUAAGAGGAGGGAAUACCCAGUCCCUGACAUGGCCCCUAUAUUUAGGGCCAUAUCCACUAUGAAAGCGAGGCCCCUGAAGUUGGGGAUGAGUGGUGCCAAAGAGGUUUGGGGCAGGGUCGAGCGCCUCUCUAAGUACAGCAGUUCAAGGGCUUCCGAAGAGGGGACCCCUCAGAGGCCAGAGAAGGCCAAAGAGCCUCGAGAGAAGAAAAAGGUCCCUGAGGAGUAGAAGAAGAGGAAGCUGGUGCACGUCAAACGUCACUAGCUCGUUUGGCAAGUUCGGGACCUCUGUGUCCCAUGAAGGCAAAGAAGCCACUCAGUCGAAGCUCCUUGAAGUCGCCUCAAAAGCGGUAAAGAUUGAAAUGGUUCGACGAGUCGAGGUUGAGGAGGCUAAGAAAGAGGCUACAAGGAGGGCAGCUGAGAUGACAGAGGAUGAGGCUCCCAAGCAGAGGCCUGCAAGGGUGCAAGGGAAGUCUUCAAGCUUCCUUGUCGGAAGGGAGGAGGUUCUGGCUUCAGCUUUGGUGGAGGCUCUGCCACCUGAGAUCCAAAGUGCUACAGAAAGCUUCUACAAAUUCUGGAUGGAUCGAUGGCAUUUGCACGCCUCCUCAUACGACGCCACGGACUUGACUAGGGCCCUCGUGAGCUAAAGUGUGAGGACUUUUAGCCUUGCAUUGGAGUGCAGGGAGGCCCUUACUGACUUUCAAACAAGGGCCCAGUCCUCAGAGAAGAAGAUGGCUUUCCUCGUAGAGGAGCUGAAGGGUGCUAGAGCAGAGGCAGAGGAAGCGAGAGCCAAAAAAUUGAAGAUACGGCCAAGAAGGAGUCUGCCUUGGCUCAAAUCGAGGCAUUGAAGAACGAGGUAUAUGAGUCCCAGUGCGAGGUGGCUUCCUUGACAAAGAAAGUGGAGGUUUCCAAUGACCACCAAAAGGUUACUGGAGAAGGCAAACUUGGAGUUGGCUGGGGCCCAAGAUGCCUACAAGUUCUUGGAGGGCCAGAUAAAGUGGUAUGUUGAUGAAGCGGCCAAGGCAAAGGAGGGGGCCAAUGUGGCGAGGAGGGAGCGGUGAAAGAUUACAUUGCUAAUUUCCACAAUACCGAGGAGUACAAGAGCUUCAACACCUACUGGAGAAAUUAUGAUUAUGUCGAGAUGAUGGAGAGGGCUGAGGAACUCUACCCAAAUCAAGAGUUUGUGGAUGAAGUGCCUCAGACCCCAGCUGAUGAAGCGGUUGGGGAUGAAGUACAGAGGCAGAAGAAGAAAGUUCUGAUGCUCAUGCUACGGAGGCCCCUACUGUCGGGGCACCUCCAUCAUUGUCCAAGGCUUAGGAUAGUUUUCUUUUCAGUUAUUUCUGAUAUACUAGCCUCAGGUCCCCCCUUUUAUAUUCUUGAUUGAAAAUCAAUAUAAUAUCUUCUUUCAUUCAAUGUUGUUUUUUCUCCUAAGUGCAUUGGCCUCGUUAAGCAAUUAAUUGAACUUAAUGUUGAUUGAAGAAUUAAAUAACUUUAACUUGAUAUCCCAACUCCAAUCACUUGAGCGAGUAUUUAGUACGCAAGCCUCACGAGCCAUGACCAAUAUUGGACUUAAGCAAAUGAAUAGCAUUCAAGCGAGGUGGCCCAGAGAUGGGAUGCUGGCCUCUCCUCCGAGGUGACGAUGCUUCCCAACAUGGUUGAUGGUUCAGCCAUGUUGAGGCUUUUCCCAGUGUCGUUCAGUCUCGCCAAAAGGAGGCAAGUGCAUGCGUCUCAGAGUUCAAGCGAGGUGGCCCAGAGAUGGGAUGUUGUCCUCUCCUCCGAGGUGACGACGAUUCCCAACAUGGUGGAUGGUUCAACCAUGUUGAGGCUUCUCCCAGUGGCGUUCAGCCUCACCAAAGGGAGGCAAGUGCAUGCACCUCGAAGUUCAAGCGAGGUAGCCCAGAGAUGGGAUGCUGGCCUCUCCUCCAAGGUGAGAAAGUAAUGCGACACGUGAAUUCAAUCAUGGAUAAGUUUAUUAAAUCGUGGAAAUGUUACAUGAGCUGGGAAAGAUCGUCCGGCGAGGUAGUACAUUCAUUGAUAAUAGAUUCGGAGGUGCUCAAUGUUCCAUGAAUAGGGUUGUGCCUUGCCAUCCAUGUCUUCAAUCCAGUAAGUCUCAGGUUGGAUCUCCUCUUUGAUUUUAUAUGGGCCUUCCUAGUUCGGACCCAGGGAACCAGGGCCAGGUUCCUUUGAGAAGAGGAAGACUCUCCUAAGGACCAGGUCGUUGAUUCGAAAUGACAUCUUCUUUACCUUUGAGCUGAAGUACUUCAUCAUCUUUCUUUGAUAUGUGCCGAGCUUCAGUUGGGCGUCAUCUCUCCUUUCCUCAAUGAAGUCGAGGUCGUACCUACGAAGCUCGUCGUUUGUUAUUUCACUGAAAUGCAGAUGUCGUGGAGAUGGAAGUCUGACCUUGACGGGGCUCAUCGCCUCAGUCCCAUAUGCCAUGAGGAAAGGUGUUUUCCCUAUUGGGGUCCUCGCAGUGGUUCGAAUUGCCCAAAGCACUUGUGGUGGCUCAUCCACCCAGCCCCUUUUGACACAUCAAGCUUCCUUUUCAGGACGUAUUUGAUUGUCUUGUUCAUAGCCUCAACCUGGCCAUUUGCUUGUGGGUGGUGAGGUGUGGAGAAGUGCUUCUUGAUGCCAAGUUCUUCACACAAACUUCUGACCUUCUUAUUGUUGAACUGUCUACCAUUGUCUGAGACAAUUGACCAAGGAAUCCCGAACCAGCAUAUAAUAAUCUUCUACAAGAACUUGGAAGUGUUGGCUUCUGUAAUUUUUGCCAGUGGUUCAACUUCAACCCACUUUGUGAAGUAAUCAAUGGCCAUAAUUGCGAAGCUCGCACCUUCUCUGCCUUUUGGUAGAGGACCUAUGUGGUCCACACCCCACUUCGAGAAAGGCCAAGGGUUGGAGACUGUCGUCAAAUCUUGCGAUGGUUGUCUUUGGACUGAAGAGAAUCGUUGGCAUUUGUCACAUUUUCGUACAAACUUGAGGGCGUUCCUUUUCAAGGUAGGCCAGUAGUACCUCUACCUCAGUAUUUUUUGCGCCAAAGAUAGACCUCCAGAGUGGUUGCUGCACACACCCUCAUGGACUUCUCUUAAUAUGUAGGUAGCCUCUUCUCCUCCGACGCAUUGUAAGAGUAGAGAGGAGAAGCUCCUCUUAUAGAGUACAUCAUCAGUGAAGAGGAAAUGAGAUGACCUCCUCCUUAGGUGUAGGCUUCAUGCUUGUUAGUGAGAAGUACCUGGUCCUUUAGGUAGGCUACGAUGGGCUGCAUCCAGGUAGGAGUCCUAGCGACCCACAUCACAUUGGGGGCCUCGGUUGAUGGCAUGAGGAGGUGCUCUAUAGGGACUACUGUGAGUAGUUCGGAAUUCUUGCUACUUGCAAGUUUGGAGAGUGCAUCCGCAUGUGCAUUUUCGAGGCGGAAGAUCUGGAUCAACUCAAACUUUUCAAAGGAUGGGAUGAGGUUCAUCACCAUUUUCAAGUAGGAGGCCAUUAUUUUGUCCUUGGCUGAGAAGUUACCGUUGACUUGGCUAACGACUAGUUGGGAGUCACUAUUGAUGAGUAGCCUCUUUACUUGCAUUUCUCUGGCUAACUUGAGGCUUGUAAGAAGUGCCUCAUAUUUUACUACAUUGUUGGUGGCCUUGAACCUGAACCUCACCACUGAGUUCAGCUUGUGACCUUCUGGGCUGAUGAGGACAACUCCGGCACCUGAGCUGGCGUCCCCAGUGACCCAUCAAUGAAUAAGUUCCACAUAGGAGGCUCAGCUUGUUCCAUGAUUUCAUCUUCCUAGGGUAAGUUGGCGAAUUCUGCCACAAAAUCAGCUAAAGCUUGGCCCUUGAUGGCUGCCCUAGCCUUGAACAUGAGGUCAAAUUCACUUAGCUCCACUGCCCAUUUCAAUAAUCUUCCUGAGGCAUCGGGCUUUCGGAGUACCUGCCUUAUGGGAAAGUUUGUCAACACAUGGAUGGUGUGGGUUUGGAAUUAGGGUCUCAACUUCUUGGAGACCAUGAUCAAGGCCACAGCGAGCUUCUCCAUAUCGGGGUAAUGAGUUUUUGGUGAUAGGAAUGCUUUACUUGUACAGUAAAUGGGGAGUUGGGUGGUCUCCUCUUCUCAGAUUAGAACCGCACUGAUGGCCUCAUUAAAGACAGCUAGUUAUAGCUGUAAAAUCUCACCGGACUUCGGUUUGGAGAGGAGGAUGGCCUACCCUAGGUGCCUUUUUAGGCCCUGGAAGGCUUCUUCACAUUUCUCAUUCCAUUGGAACUUCUUCCCAACUUUCAACACUUUGAAAAAUGGGAGGCAUUUGUUUGUAGCUUUGGAGAUGAAGCGGCUAAGUGCAGCCACCCGCCCACUCAAACUUUGUACCUCCUUUGGCUUUUGGGGGGACCUCAUCUUGAAUAGGGCCUCAAUCUUCUCAGGGUUGGCUUCGAUCCCGCGUUGAUUGACCUUGUUUCCUAAGAAUUUGUCGGAGGCCACUCCGAAGGUAUACUUGAGGGGGUUGAGCCUCAUCAUAUAUCUUCUCAAGAUUUGGAAGGUGCUGUUGAGGUGCGUUAUGUGGUUCCUAGCUUCCAAACUUUUUACUAGCAUGUCAUCCAUGUAGACCUCCAUUAUCUUGCAGAUGAGGUCCACACACAUUUUGUUGACGAGCCUUUGAUAUGUCGCUUCGAUGUUUUUCAACCUGAAGGGCAUCAUCUUGUAGCAGUAAAGGCCUCGGUCUGUGAUGAAAGAUGUGUGUUCCUCAUCGACCGGGUGCAUGGGAAUUUAGUUGUAGCCGGAGUACGCGUCCAUGAAGCUCAAUAACUCGUGCCCAGCCGUGGAGUCUACCAGUUGGUCAAUCCUUGGGAAUGGAAAGCUGUCUUUCGGGUAAGCUCUAUUGAGGUUAGUGAAAUCGAUGCACACCCUCCACUUGCCAUUGUGUUUCUUCACUAAAAUUGAAUUGGAGACCCAUCUUGGAUAUGUGGCCUCUCUGGUAAAGCCAUUUUGGAUGAGCUUCUGAACUUCUUCCUUCAGGAUUGAGGGCUUUCCUUUUUUGUUUAUGCGAGGCAACCUUAGGGUCGAUUUUCAGGUGGUGGCAACUGAGCUUGGGCUCUAUGCCUACCAUGUCCUCAUGUCUCCAAGCAAAGACAUUGAGGUUCAUACUCAGGAAAUCCUUGAUCUUUUCUUUUAAAGUGUUGGACAAGCCCUUACCCAUUUUCAACAAUUUGGAUGGGUCUCGGGGAUCGACCGAGAAGCUCACAAGUUCCUCAACUAGGGAUGCUUGAGGUUGGUGUUCAAUUACGCGAGGAUCAAUCUCAUCGAUGACUAAUACUUCCGGAUUGGGUGGUGUGUCAAUCAUGUCGACAUCUUCCGGUUCAACGAGAGCAUCACCUAGGACAUCAGCCGUGACUAUGUCGGCGAUGAUUACAUAGACGUCUCGGGGCUCUACCUUUUUUAUGGAGCUUAGAUAAUACUCUCUCAAGCCUCUUUGGUAGCCUCUCUGGUCGCCUCUCACCGUUACUUUUAAUGCAUAGGUGGUGGAUGGAGGUGAUGACUCUCAAUUCCUUUAGAGCUGGCCUACCCAAUACUUCGUGGUAGGCCGACCGUCUAUCAACAAUGAGGAACUCUAUGAAGUUCAUUGUAGUUUGGGAAGACUCUCCCAUUUCCACUGCGAGUGUGAUCUUUCCUCUCGGAGUGAUGCUAUCUCCGGUAAAUCUAUACAAGGGAGUGGUGGUGGGUGUCAACUCAUGGUCCAGUAUCAUCUUGUCAAAAGUGGAUCCGAAUAGAAUGUUGACGCAGCUACCAUUGUCAACUAACAUUCAUUUGAGCCAUUUCGGGCUAUGACUGCUCUUACCACAAGUGCAUCACAUCCUCCUGGAUGAAGACAAUAGGUAGAACUUGAUUCCUCCGGGAGCUGUUGUCCACAAUAUAGCUUGUCAGAGGGGGGUGUUUUGCCUCCCGGGCAUAAGUCCUUUUGGCGUUUCGCGUUUCACCGCCAACAUACGGGCCUCCAAAUAUAGUAUCCACCUCGUGGAUAAGGGCCUCAUCCUGAGCUUGUCGAUUUCUUCGGUAUCUGUGCCAUUUCCUGGGCUUCUCUGCAUCACGCUCCCUUCGUCGUGGGAAAACAUCCCUUUGACGGGGUGUAGCCUCUUCACGUCCAGGUCGGUUGUCGUACCUAGGCGGGGGCCUGUUCGUCUGGGGUGAUUCAUUUCUGUCCUUAGGAGGUUCCUGUUGGAAGCGGUGAGCAUAGUCUCGACAAUCUGCUGUGUCGUGUCCAUAGGACCAGUGGUAUACACAGUAUCUUGGUGGGUUCUGACUUGACCUAUUUCUAGGUCCCGAACCCCGACCUCGGCCUCUCCCCCUACAGGAUCCUUGCGGAGUUCCCAUCUGCUGGGUGUCAGUGACUGGGCUGAUAUCCUCAUAAGCCAAUGUAGGAACUGCGUUCAAAAUUGUGGUAGCAAGUGCUUGCCUAAAACUCUCAUUACCAGCUUGGUUCAGUUGGUAGUCCAUAAAGUGGGAGAUCGGUCCUCUAGCACGCUGUCUUUGAGGAGCCGGGAGGCCUCCACUUGCCCUAUUACUAUGCUCAAUCAAUUCUUUAUUAAUGAUCUCCCAUCUCACCAUCUCAAGUAGGACAUCAAAGGUGGUGGGAUCUUGAUUUUGCACGUCCCUCCAAAAUAGGGUGUUCAUGUUCAAAUCUCCUCUCAAUACGGAUAAUGCCUCACGGUCAGUGACUUGCACACAAUACGUCAUCUCAUCGGUGAAGCGUGAUAGGAAACUCUUUAGGGACUUUCCAUGUGUUAGUCUCAUGUCUUGGAGACGUUGAAUGGGGGCCUCUCCCUCUUUGCUCACAGUGAACCUCUUCAAGAAGGUUGUUUUGAACUCAGGCCAACUUUUUAAGUUCUCAGGUGGUAACUUACUAUACUAAAUUCCAGCUGCUCCGCUAAGUGUUAAGUGGAAAGCUCUGCAUUACACAGCUGGGGUGGCACCCCUUAAGCUCAUGUGAGUUUUGUAAGCAUCAGUUACUUCUCUGGGUCAUCUCUUCCGUCGUGCUUUAGUAUCUUUAGCAUAUCAUAGUGGUUUGAAACCUGGGCGCUGCUUAGUUCCCUUGAGAAUGGUAGGUUCUCAUCAUCAUCGUCCAAGUCACAGGACCUCUACUGCUCGUUUGAAUCGUUUUCAUUGGCCUCAUACCUUGGUUAUUGGUGAGAGGUUCCGGGAUGGUUCCUAGCCUCUUCCUCCCUCCUUUGGCACCUAUUUCUAGGCAAAACAGCACGGGGGGCAUUUUCAUGCCUUUCUCCCGACUGUUGAGGCAUUGGCAGUAGAGGCAGUAGCCUUGUCCAAGGCUGGUGACGCUAUUGUUGUUUAAGCCUCGAUUCUGCGGGGCUGAUUCUAUCAAAUAAACUACUUGACCUCCUAUGUCUUUGCUCUUGCUCAUACGGAGGUGGAAAGUUGUCAUGGUUCAAAGGGACCUCGGUAGGUCGACCAGAAGCGCAGUUGGAGGAAACAUCAACUUCCAUUUCCCUUUCAAAUGGACUUCUACCUAGGCUAUAGUCUGGCGAGGUAGCCCUAUAACUUUGAACUUCAUCUUCUUACUGGUAGUGCCCUUGGGGGGUGUAUGGAGGAAUAGGGAAGCCUCCCUGGUCCUGCAUUUGGGCCAUGAGUUCCCUUAUAGCCAUGUUUUGGCUAGCAAUGUCCCUCAUAUUGUCCGCCAUGGCAGCCAUUUCUCUUGAUAACGGGGCUAUCACACGGAUUCCACCUCUUCUAUGGUUGUGGUGGAGUCUAUGCCGAGCUGCUGAGGCAGUUGCUGGAGGGGGCAUAGUUGUGUUUUCUCUUACCCUCUUAGGGGGUGUAUCUUCGUUUGAACUCAUUUUCUUUGCAUCAGACCCUUUAGAUUUUUGCCAAGUUGUGGGGCUUCCUCUUGUUCUUUUUCAAGAACGAAUCUUUUUUCAAGGGGGAUGCCCAGAUGUGCCUCUUUAAUAAGCUUUCACCACAAAGUUGUUCGUGGUUAUGGUAUGGCUUCCCACAAAUGGCGUCAAUCUAUUGACCCUAAAGAAUGUUGCCAACAGAUGCCGGACCCACACGCACACACGUCAGUGAAAGUCCAUUACGGUAAGACAUGUGGACGGUCUAAAAUGGACGGAUCAAGGGCGUGGGAGUAGCUCAACGACGUAAGACGAAAACAUUCGAAAUCCGGUGGGGUAGUUCAUGGAUCGAUUGUACAAUAAUUACCAAUCGGUGUUUGUAAAUGUGUAUGUAAAAAUGUGUAAACUCGUAUUGUGUUGCAAGAUAAUAAGAGAGAGUUGAGUACAGUGUUGUUUCUUGUGUUGAUUCUUGCAUUAGCCUUUCUAUGGGGUACAUGAGGGAGUAUUUAUAACGUCACGGGUUAGAUCGUGACCUUUGAUUUGGGGUACACGUGGCUUCAUUCGGUUAAUUUACAUGUUAAAUUGUAGGCAUCAGCCGCACCUAGCCUGCUAUACAUUAAUUAAUUGGUGGAGCCGCUUCUACUAAUGAUUAGACUCAACAUUUACACUCAUGACAAAUGUCCUAUCAAUCAUUCAAGUAAGAUACCUGGCAUCUCUGACUUCUCUCAUGGUCUACAAUUCGUGCAGAAAAUCUUUGGCAUCAUUUGAGGCGGUUAGGAUUGUAUGAAAAUGAGGAAAGCCAUCCAAUCCUUGGAAACGUCAAAUUGGCUUUAGAAGGGCUUGUCCAACAAAGGUUUGCCCAUGUUGAGAUUUCCAGUCUAUGCUUUGCUUGAUCAAAAUGAUCACUAGAUUUGAUUUGAUAUUAUACCCUGACCUUUGGCUUUAUACUGUGUUAUAGAUAUUUGCAGAAAGAAAAAGUUAAUGGCCCUGAAGGCAGUACUUUAUAUUAUGAGCUUGCUGAGAGAGCUCUAGAUGGAGCACUUGGUGAUAGAAUCGAAGAAUAUGUUUCUCAGGUACAAAUAUUAUUGGUUGGAUCGGUAUCCAGUGGAGUCUGCACUAUGAAUAUUCUUGAACUGAUAAAUUUGCAUUUUUAUGAAACCAAGUGCUCCAUCUAGAGCUCUCUCAGCAAGAAAGUUAUUUAAUGCCUACUCCAUGAAGUCCCAGUAUGGAUUGUUUAAAACAUUGUUUAUUAAGGGUCUUUUACUUCUAAAUUUAACCAAGAUUUUUAUUUUUUUCCAAUUUAAUCUCUUCUACAUGUUUCUCGUUCCAAAGAAUUAUAAGUUAUAGUUACACUUACAUGUGUAUUGUGUUGACCAAACAUCAGCUUGUGGAGAGCAUCAGUGGCGGCUUUGUCUCAGAGGAGUUACAUCUUUUUGGCAUCUUCCUGAAUAUGAUUAUGUCUUGUAUUAACACCACUUUGCUGGGGAGAUAUUCUUCUUCAUGACAAACCACUGUCCUGUAAUAGAACUGGACAAUUUCUUCUAAUGUGUCCUUAGCUGCAAUGAUAACAGAUGCCAUUCCCUUUGAACUAUAAAAAUGCACCGAGAUAAGGUUUUUCACAAAAUUGACAAUAAGGAGAUCUAGUACUAGUAGAACUCUUGCCUUGUGUCGAAAUCCUUUACGUAUAGUUAGAAGUACCCGCCAAUAUCUGACUAUUGCUUGCUCUGAAUUUUGUUUGUUCUCUCCUAAUUGGUUUAUUAGAAAUGCUCUUUUCUACUUUAAUGUUGAUUCCACCAAUAUGCCAAAUUCAUUCCAACAUGCGGCUGUCACUACUGACUUGAUCUCUUCUCUUAACCUAUUUUCAAAUCAUCUACAUUUAUCAAUUUCAUUGCUAAACAAAACUUGAGCAUAGUUUGAAAAAGUUCAAUGAAUUUUACCUGAUACUGUGUAAUAGUCAUUUUGCCUUGUACGAGUUUCAAAAAUUCCUCUUGCUUUGCAUCCUUAUAUAAACGAGGGUAAUAGACAUCAUAAAAGAUACGUCCGAAAUCUAUCUAAGUGAUAAUAGAAUGGUCUUGAUAUGUAUUAUGUACUGACUACUACCAAUCAUAUGCACCCUCUAACAAAAAAAUGCAAGAUGCAAUUUUUCGAUCAUGUGAGCAACCUAUAACAUUAAAUACCCUCUCUAUCUCGAUCAUCUACGCCUAUGAAAACUUUGGCCUCUAAUUUGUUGCCUUUUUAAUGCUGAAAUCUCUAUCAAUAUUAUGCAACAACAAUAGUAAUAGUAGUGGCAAUUCUUUCAACAGCCAUAUGAUCAUUUUCAAUCACAUUUCCCUAUUCCCAAUUGUUCAGGAGGUUGGUGAACUGAUUCAACUAUUCUAUUGUACUCUCUAAGUUCAUUUCUAUUAGAAGCAAUGUGAGACUAGGGCAACAUAUCUUGAAGGCUUUGAGUUAUGCCACCACAAGGCACGACUCACCUACAGUUAUGCAUGAGGUGCUAAACAUCAUAAUGUAGGUACAAUGCAAGCCUAUGGACUCUAAAGCAUGGUCUGAUACCAAACUGACUCGUCCUGCUCCAUGUAAUGCUACUGGACUCGGAACGUAACAUCCACCGAUGAUAGAUACCAAUUGAAGGUCGGACCCACCAUCAAGGCUACUACAAUAUGCAACUUUUUAUAAAUUAUUUUUAAUAUAAUUUUGAAAUUAAAUUUUCCUAUAAAUAGGACUAACCGACCUGUAAUUCAUUAUGCACAAAUCCCAAUAAUACAACACAACGAGGAUAAGCCAAAUUCUCAACUUUUAUCACUAAAAUAACAUGAAAGGUACAUAUGGAUGCAAAAUACAUAGUAAGCCCCACAACUAUAUACUAAGUCACAUGCAAAAAUGAACAUAUAUCCCAAAACACUGACUACAUGCUCUAUAAAAUGAGCUAUAUUAGUAAAUUCUAUUGUGUGGCUCUGACUCCAAAAUCAAAGGCUCAACUCCAAAAGAAGCCCAUAAACUCAACUGCUUCUUGAUAAGAAAUAUCAUGGAAUAAUAUAUGAGUUAAUAGCUCAGUAAGCAAAGAAGUUGAAAAAUAAAUAUACUUUUACAUUUAUACAUUUUAUCGAAAAUCGAUUUUACAUCCUUUAACAGUUCACAGUAUAAUAGCAUAUAAUAAUAAUCAAGAUGUGAAACAUCCUUAUAAUACUGAAAAAUAUUAUCUCAUCAUCAUUAUAUAAUCAUCAAUUAAACUCUAUACAUUCAUCUCAACACAUUAAAUGUACUAAAAAAUUCACCAAAAAUGUACCCUCUGACUGAAUCUAUAAUCUAGUCAUACACUUAUAGACUAUUCCUCAGGCUAAUCACUCCUGACACGGGCCUCAAGCCCUCUUAGUAAAUGGAAGUGAAUCUCAAAGAUCUCUUAUAAUCAAUUCUAGAACACACCAAGGCCCCUCGGUGCAUUAUAUGUUCACAGUCAAGACCUCUUCAUCCACAGUCAAGAACUCUCAGUGUAGUAUAGAACAUGGGCAAGAUCUCUUCUGUUUGAUCUAAAUAUCAUAUAUGUCUCAUAUUUCGAUUCACGAAGGUACCUUAUACAAUCUUUGAAAUUUCACAUGUAUCAUAGUAAAAUAAUUUUUCACAAUAAUUAUAUAAUCGAACACAUAAUUGCACAUAAUAUAAUAGCAUUAUUAAUUUAUCAAUACUUGAAGAUACUCAAGUUUUUUUCACUCAACUAAUCAUGUACACAAAAUCAAAUAGGAUUGUAGGAUGUCCCGAUAUCUAUAUCGCUGCCUAAAAUACGGUAUAAUAUCUAGAUUAACAACUAAUUAUUUUAAGAAAUUCUAAUAAUUAGUUAGGCAAUAAAGAAACUUAAUCUUUUCAUAUUCAAGCAAUUUCUAAAGUUCCUUUAAUCACUUAAACUAAUUUUUCUUUCAUUUAACUUAAUUGCAUCACUUAUUAAACUUAAUUUAAUAAUUCCCUUCAAUAAAACUAAAUUUAAAUUAACUAUUCAUGAAAUAAUUCGAUUUAAAGCUCGCAAGCGUACGAUUCGCAACAAGUAAUAAAGUAGAUUUUAGAGUCUGAAUAUCGUCCCACAGUGAUUGAGUAGCCUAAUUUUAGGGUAAUUAGCAAAAAAAAUCCCCAUCGUUUGUACUCAUUGCAAAAAUGGUCCCUAUCAUUUUGAACCUGCUAUUUACCCUCAUUUCAAAACUUUCUUGCAGAAUUGGUCAUUUCCGUCAUAUUCCGUUAAAUUCUUCCGUUAAAUCUGCGUAAUUUGAUGUAAAAUGUUCCUAUUGUUAGCUGUAAUUGGCAAAUAGUCCCUAUCAUUUCAAAAUUGACAUUGGGAUAUUCAGAUCGACAUUCAUUUGCUUAAAAGGUCCUUACGUCCAUUUUUUCUAUUAUAACAUUAUGAAAUGGCUAAUUUAUCAUCAUCUUUAAAUAACCAAAUAGAAAAUAGAAAUAAUAUAAACAAAUUUUAGCUAAAGUUUCUAAUUUUUUAAAAAAGUACAAACGAGUCUCAGGAAAAUAAUUUGAAACAUUCUAAUAAACAAAAACAUUUCAUCUUCCCAAUUAACCCACAUACCCUACGCGCAUCCCCUACACUCUACCACUACAAAAUUAAUUAAAGAGAUGAUUAACAAAAAAAUAAUAAAAGCAAAAUGGUGUUUAUUCCUCAUCAAAUAUUUUUUAAUACUUUUAAUUCUCUUUUUAAUUAUCUUGGUGGUGGUGGUGGAGGAUAGGCAUAUGGGUAGUGGUAGGUGGGUUAUUUGGGAAUAUAAAAUAUUAUUUUUAUUAGAAUGUUUUAAAUUUUUUUAUGUGAGAUUUGUUUGUAAUUUUUAAAAAUAAAAAAUUAGAAACUCUAGAUACAAUUUCUUUUAUACUAUUUCCUUUAUCUAUUUGUUUAUUUAAAGAUGAUGAUAAAUUAGUCAUUUCAUAAUGGUAUAAUGGAAAAAUGGACGCAACGACCUUUUAAGUAAAGAAAUGUCGAUCUGAAUAUUGAAAUGUCAAAAUUGAAAUGAUAGGAACUAUUUGCGCAAUUACAACAAACAUUAGGUACAUUUUACAUCAAAUUACACAUAUUAAACUGAAGGAUUUAAUGGAAUAUGACGGAAAGGACCAAUUCUGCCAGAAAGGUUUGAAAUGAUGAUGUAAAUAGUAGGUUCAAAACGAUAGGGACAAUUUCGCAAUGAGUACAAACGAUAGGGAUUUUUUUUUUUUUUGCUAAUUAUACCUAAUUUUAUUUAUCUUGGCCUUAACCGAAACAAGAUUUUCAAAAGUGAUUUUACAACAUAAUUAAACCCUAACCUAAACUAGGUAUGAAAAUGUGCAUGACUUGAAUGAAUUAAAAUGUAAACUAACACUUAGAUGAACUAAAAAGGAAAAUUGAAUGUUUGGAACGUAAAUUGAUGAAUUCAAUGAAUGUAUAAGCGCUAGGAUCAUGAAUCCCCAAGCAAUGCUCAAUUUAACCCUAGUUCUAUAAUUUGACAACAUGUUAAAAUUAUAAAGAAUCAAUGCUCUUAAAUCUAUCUAACAGCCUCUCUCGAGCAAAGUUGAACAUACUCUCAUAUACUACCAGCCUAUCUCUCUAUGAUGAGUGCAAAUAUACAAGAAUGUAUGUAGUUUUGUAAGCACUUAAAGAUUCACGCAGGGUAUAGCAGUAUAUCCCAUAUCAGACUCUACGGUGUUUUAUACCUUCUCGAACCCCGUUCUUUCAAAUGCAAGAAAUAGAUCAUCACACUCACACAAUUACGAGCCCAGUAAUUAUGGAAGCAAUUAAAUGUGUAUAAACCACUCAAAAUAUUUAAUACGUGCUUUAAUGUUAAAAAUAUAAAAAAAGAAUUAAAAAUCACAUCACAAAAUUUAUCGAUUUCCUAGUACAAGAAUAUCUAACCUAGCAUGGAGAAAAUUAUAGAGUACAUGAUAAUUUUAAGAAACGAUAUCACCGGUGUGAGAAUUGGCGUGUAAUCCCAUUGAUCUUCACGUUUCUCUUCGUUAUUGUGGUGCAAAAUCCCUCCAAAAUGUGUUAUUUUCUCUCCCAAUUGUUUUGACCCUUCUUUAGGGACGACCCUAGAGUUUUAAAAUACCUCUCAAGAUUUGUUUCUAUAAGAAUUUCAAUCAGAAUAGAGAACUAGAACUUUUUCAUCGCGAUUGAGCUGGCCACCUCGGUAAUUGUUUCUCAAUGUUGGGCAGUUGCCCAUUCAAAACAACUGGGCUGUCACCUAGUUAUAAAAACUCUUGAUUCUUUUAGAUCAUUUCUCUUAUUUUCUUCUCCCAAUACUUCGAGUCCUCACCAAAUUUGUUCUUAACUCUUUCACAUCAUUGUUUAUGUUCCUGGUUAUCUUUUAGCUAUUUGCAUUUUGGUCCUUAAAAUUUCAUUUUUGCCCUUUUUCACACCUUUUCUCUUGAGUUCCAUCAUAUCCAUCAAUAUGGCCCAACAAAAUAAGAUUGCAUAGAAUUAAGUCAUAUUCAACCAAAUUUAUCAACAAUUAUUCAUAUUUUGUUGACCGAAUAAGUGUGAAAAAUUUAACACAACUUUUCAAUAAGUAACUUUUUAUCUACUUUUUGAAAUUGAGGAAUUCAAGUUUAAUAGUAAAAAGUACUUAUUUUCUAAUUGUGUUGGCAAUUUUCCACUUCUUCUUUUUUCCUUCUUUAUUUUUUCCUUUCUCCUUGUUUUCUCUCUCCUUGUGUAAUUGGAUUUGUACGUAUAUAUGAAAAUGGAUUAUAUGCAUGUGAAUUGGAAUGAUGCACCGCCUAACCAUUUUUUUAUUCUAUUUCCCUUUUUAAGCUUGACAUUUUUGACUUAGUUUUAGGUUUGACUUUUUUUUUAAUCAAUGUAUUACAAAGUAAUCCUCACCCAAUAUAAUCUAGAUUGGAUUUGGUCUCGAGAAUAUGGAUGGUGAAGGUGAUGGUGAUGGUGAUGGUGAAGGUGAUGGUGAUGGUACAUCUCCAACCUUUGGCAAAACACUUUGAAUAAAGUAGCUAGAAAAUGCUUCAUUUUUCAAAGAAAGCCCAUUGUUGCACUGGAAAUUGCUACAAGGUACUAACUUUGCCAAAUGAGAGUUAGCUGUUUUCAGUUUCUUCCACUUGUUACCAUGAUUAUGAGGUACUCAUAAACUAGUUUUUCGUUCUAACAAACAUUUAAAGUCAUUUAUCGUGAAUUUAAAAAAGAAAAAGAAAAAAGAAUUCCACUCUCGUCCCAGAUACCAUGUGAUGUCAUAAAGUUUGGAAUGUUACAACAAAAGAUAUAUCAAGUGCUCAUCAAUCAAAGGCCUAAAAAUCAGGCCUUAUAACAAUGUAUUUUUAGGAAAACCAUUUUGGAAGUUCUUGAUGUAUAGUCAGUAUUCCAUAUCUACUUGAUGUGGAUUAUAUGGUUUUUCACAAACCAUUUGUUGGAAAAUAUGGAUCUUAAGUCGACCAUAUGAGGUAACCCGACCCACAAGACAUUAAAAGGAUUAGAGGGAGUGCUUUGAACUUGAAAUUCAAACCUACAAUCUCUAUAACCACCUUUAACUCCCAUACAUCCUCCAAUUUUUGUCUAUCAUUUGAGAAAGAGAAUGAUGAUAAGAAAAAUGGUGAAAUUCGUAUGAAAAAUAUCACCAAAAUUGGAAAGGCCCAAAAAUCAGUAUUUUGGUAUGAAAACUCACAAAAUAAGGCACUUAGAUUGUGGAUAUUAAUCCCCUUCCAUUGUGAUCGAGAUUGAGACCAUUGGGGUGCAAGAAAAUUGUAGAUUUGAAAAGUAAUAUGAUUCAACCAUUCCAAAGAUCUUGGAAUUCAUCUUUUUAAGUAAGGAUUCUUGACCCGGAAUUUAUAUUAAAGAAUGCUAUGAAUUAUUACACCAUCCAACAAGUAUACAUGCUCUCAAAUACUUAUCCAAGGAUUCAAAUGAAGAAUGGAAUCCUUGUAAGCAACCCACCUUUACUUUUCAUUUCCAAUCAAGAAUGGAUCAAUUAUCCACAGCUAUUCAUGUUGUCACCACAAAGGUCUUGCCAGCGUAUAAUUAUUGGGUCUCACUUUCCCAAUAUCAGAUAUUUUAGGCCUUUACAACAAGCCAGAAGAAGAUCACUACUUAUCAUGAUAAUAGUCCGCCCCAUUUAGCGGCACAUAACACAGUUGACACCAAAAGUUAAAGGCCAAAAAGAUGUAACAAUCCUCAUCUUAGGUGAAGCUGCCAUUGAUGCUCUCAACAAGCUAAUGUUUCGUCAAUACAAUACAUGUGCAAGUGUAUAUUAUGUGUAAAGCAUUAGAGCCAAAGUAAAGAUAACUUAUAUUUCUUUGACAUAGAAACGUGUAGAGGAGAAUAAAUUGAAAAAAAAAUAUUGGUUAAAUAUAUAAAUAAAAAACCCUUAGUUUCAAACAAUCAAUAGUGUGAGUACUUUAUGGAAUAGACAUGAAGGCAGUGUUUGAUAACACUGCAAUUCCAAGGAAAGCGGAAUUUGAUUUCCACUUUUCACAAAUUCCAUUGUUUGAUUGCACAUUUUUGCCAUGGAAAUCAAUUUCCAGGUUUUGCUGCCACGGUCCUGAAUUCCUUGUUUUUGAGGAAUUUCAAUUCUUAUGGCUUUGGUAAGAAUUGGAAUUCCAUGCAAUUUUUUUUUUUCCCCCCCCCCCCCCCCCUUUUUUUGUUAGCAAUGAAAAUGAAUCCUAAGAUUUAUUGUAAAAAAUUUUCCUUUUAAUCGAUAAUUUUCAUGUAAAAUAAAGCGAAACGAACAUUCAAAGAUAGAUGAUUUUCUUUGAAUUUAUUAUUAUUAUUAUUAUUAUUUGUGGAUUUUGGCAUUGGAAACAAAUUUCAUUCCCAAUACCAGUAAAUUCUAUCCCUUUAAUUGACAAUUUUCAUAUAAAACAAAGCCAAUUGAACAUCAAAAAACACUUUAAUUUAAACAUUUUCCACAUGAAAAAUUAUACCAAUCAAACACAAUAAUUUACAAUUUCAGGAAAACAAUUUCCUAUUAAUUCAAUUCUCUGUAAUUCGUUUUCUUUCCACCCAAAUUCUACCUUUGCAAUCAAACAGACCCUAAAUAACUUUCUCGAACGAAAUAGAAUUAACUAGAACAGAAAGAAACCAAAUUAUAUUUCUAGCAAACUGUGGAAAAUAAAACAUUAAAGAUCAUGUGUCAGACUCUUAUUAAAUGCUAUUGACUAAAAGGGGACAUAACACUAACAGGUUCAUGAUAUAUAAUUUAUAAAAACUGGGUUUGAAAUUUAAUUUUUAUCUACAAACGAACAACUGAAGAAGUGUUUGAUUAAAAAUAAAAUCCAUAUCUGAGAAAUAGUCAUUAAUUGAAACUCUCAUCGUUUACCACUCUUAGAUUUCUGAGUUUUGUAUUCACGCUUUUUGAUGUCUUUUUAAUUCAUUAUGUCUUUCCUUAUUGAUUUUAUACAUUGUGCUAUGACAAACUGAUGCCAUAGAAUUAAUCCGAAUGGAGAACAAGUCUUAAACUCAAUGAUUUUUGAAGAUAAUUGCAAUUUUAGGAAAUUGAAAUUGUUGAUUCGCCAAAGAACGUCCAAUAUUUGAGUUGGAUCAGCAAAUUAUUCAUUCUAAUACCAAUUUAAAUGGUGGAAGUUGAAAACUUCUAAUAUUUAGUCAUGCUAAUCAAGCAAGAAAACCAUUAGUUUUGGCUGCUAAAAGAGACUAUUUCAAAUUAUAAAUCGAAUCGCAACAUUAGUACUUCGACAAAUUAUAUUUAUUUUUUGCUCCAAUUAAAAGAAAGAACUUUAUUAAUAAAUAGAUCGAUCACAAAAAAUCACAUCAAGCCCCUAGACAGUGCGAGUUUCUUGUUUUAUUGGAUUACAUCACAAGGACUCAAUAUUUACUAUUAUAAACCACACCUAAUAAACAUAUACCACACAAUAUUCAAUGUUGUGGUCAAGCACUAUAUUAUUUCGAAAGAGAAAAAGUAUAUGAUAGGUAUUUUAAGAAAACAAUAGAUUCUUGUUAAAAAGGGACAAUUAAGAAUUCGAGUUAUGAAGAAACAAUUUUCUUAAUACUUAAAACGUAUAUUAUGCAACUUUAUUUUUCUGCUUCUUGGAAGAUUGCCAAUUAGGUUUCAUGAUUUGAGUGAAAAUUAAUUUUCAAACUUUAGACACUAUAUAUUAAAGAGAAAAAAGCAAUCAUAUUCUCCAAUUUUCAUGAUGAUGACAGUGACAUUACAUCUCAACUGGUGGCCUAACAUUUUGAAAUAAAGCAGUUUGAAAAUGCUUCAUUUUUCAAAGAUAAUCCCUUGUUGCACUGGAAAUGGCUACAAGGUACUAACUUUGCCAAAGGAGAGUUACCCGUUUUCAUUUGCUUCCAAUGGUCUCCAUGAUUAUGGGGUACUCAUAAACUAGUUUUUCAUUCUACCAGACAUUUAAAGCCAUUCAUUGUAAAUAUUAAAAAUAAAAAAUAAAAAAUCCACCUUCAUCCUAGGUACCAUGAGAUGUCAUCAAAUUCAGAAUGUCACAGUGAAAGAUAUAGCAAGUCAUCAUCAUUCAAUGGCCUGAAUGUCAGGCCUUCUACAAAUUGUAUAGUCGGAAAAACCAUCGUGGAAGUUCCUGAUAAUCUAUGUUCCAUAGCUACUUGAUGUGGAUAAUAAGGUUUUUCACAAAGCAUCCAACAAGUUUAAAUGCUCUCAAAUACUUAUCCAAGGAUUCCAAUUAAGAAUAGAAUCCUUGUGAACGACCCACUCUACUUUUCCAUUCCAAUUAAGAAUGGGCCAAUUAUCCACAACCUUUCCAUAUUGUCGCCACAAAAUUCUUGCCAGCAUUAUGAUUAUCAGACCUCACAUUCUCAAUAUCAGAUAUUUUAAGUCUUUCUGACAUGCCAGAGGAAGAUCACCAUAGAUUAUGAAAUUAUGCUACCCAUGUAGUGGUAUAUAACACAGUUGAGACCAAAGGUUAAAGGCCAAAAAGAUGUAACUCAUCUGAGGCGAAGCCGCCACUGAUGCUCUCCACAAGCUAAUGUUUGGUCAACACAAUACACAUGUGAGUGUAUCCCAUGUGUAAAGCACAGGAUCUAAUAGGCCUGGCAGUUUAACCUGAAUCGAAUCUCUUGAACCGCAACCAGGCCGGAAUCGGAGGUUUCGGUCUGGUUCCUCAAAAAAAUAAAUUAAGAACUAGAACUGAGAACAGAUAACUGAUUGUGUUCGGUUCGAUUCUUGGUUCCUAAACCAGAACCAUGGGUACUUGAAUGGAGCUGAUUUUUUUUUUUUUGAAAAAAAAAAUUAUUUACAAUUUAUUGGAUGAAAAAAACGUAUAAAAUCUAAAAAUCCUAAUUUUGGUAGUAAUUAGUCUAAAACUUUAAACUAACCCUAAAAAAUAAGAAUGACUCUUACUUAUUUACCUCUCGCCUUACAUCAUAUUGUUGCAUUUGAGAAGAUUAUUAUAUGUUAAUGUUUACAAUUUGAGCCUUUUAUAAAUCAAGAUUUUCAAAUCACCAGCUAAUAUAAAAAUAUAACUUGAAGUUGAUUUCAAAUCAUCUUGACAUCCAGCAAAAUCAGAAUCUGAAUAUCCUAGCACCUCAAGAUAAUUUGAACGCUGGAAUGUAAGCAUAUAACUUUCAAUAUUCUUCAAAUAUCUCAUAACUUUUUUAGCUGCUUUCCAAUGCUCUUGUCCUGGAUUGGAUUGAAAUCUACUAAGGACACUGACUGCAUAGGCUAUAUUAUUUGCAAUAUAAGUUUUUUAUUUUCUUAUAUUGUUAAUAAACUUAAGUGAUUUUUUUUUAAAUCUUUCACAACGCAUGGCAAUUGAAUUUGAUAUAUCCAUUGCUUGCGCUGUGUUGUACCUUUUUGUUAACUUGAGUUUGUGAUUCUCUUUUUAAAUUAUAUAUUUUAGUCAAACAAAGCGAGUUAAACAUGUGGACUGUGAUUUUUUGAUAUUAUAUUAGUUAUAUCUUUAAUUAGUAUUUUUUUUUUGGGUUUUGUGUACUCCACCUGUUUGGUGUAUAUCCUAUAUAAUGGUGGACUCUUCCUUUUUGAGGUGGAAUUGUAGCUGAAAAAGCUUUCAGACAUGCACAGUAUAAAGCAUUCCUUUACCUAGGAAUCAAAAUAAGAGGCAUCAAUGGAGAAAUGAUGCCCGGCCAUGUAAAAUUGACCUGUUGACUUUUUUGUCACUAGCUACCUAUUUUGAUUUUUUUUUCAUGAACCUUAUUUUGAAAUUUAUAUUUCCAUUCACCUCCUAUACGGUGGAUGUUCCAAGUUGGACCUUCUGUUGGCAUCUUGGCUGGUGAUGAAUUGUAGGUAGCUCGUUAUAUCCUCGAGGUAUUUUGACAUACCUUGUAAACAUCACUUAUUUUUCUUUGUAAUUACUCAUGGGCGAGGUUAUCUAAAUUGUUUAUUUGCCUGUUGGUGUCGUUUGAUCCCAAGCCAAUCCAAGUAAAAAUUUUAAAUUCGAAUUUUGCUAUUUCUUCUGCAACAUGAGCUUAAAUUUUACUUUUAAUAUGAAUAAAUAUUAGUCGUCACGUUUUAUAGAAACUUAUAUUAUUUUAACUUAUUUGUGAUUUUUUGCUCAUUACUAAGGUGACUGGAUCGAAGCCGAUGCCCAUACAAACUAUAGGUAAAACUUUGUUAACUUAUAUACAUCAACUCUUAUCUUCUGUAUAUUUGAACUAACCAUUAUACUUUGGUCUUUGGUUCAGAAAUCACCAGUUAAGGGUUGGGUAAGUGAAUGAAUACUUUUUAACCUUUAUCCUUUCCUACUUGAGAACAAACAAAUUGCUGAAAGUAAUGUAAACUUGACCAAGUGAACUCUAGAAAUAAAAGAAAGCUCAAAGAUAUCAAGAUGAUGACUUAAUCGAAAUAUAACUUGAUUAAGCAAGAGUUUUUAUUGGAUAGUAGAAUUUUAGACGGUGAAGGAAAAGCUCGUCAUUUGCCGAGAGUUUUUAAAGAAGUUACGUAACCAUUUUGAACUUUUCUUCUAAAGGAGGUGGAAGUUACUUGAGCAUCUUGAACUUUCUUUCUAUCAAAGGAUAUGGGAUAAGGUUACUUGCCUCAAUUGACUUCUUCUACUAAAGGAGGUUAAGGAAACUUACUUGAUCAACUUGAACACUCCUUAUUUUUUUUCCUAUAAACAGAUGUAUUGUGUAUUGUAAACUAUCGGGUAGAAGAGAAAUUUUCAUGUUUGUAUAAGAGAGUUGUUGAGAGAAAAUAGCUUUAUUGUAUGAAAUAUAUGUUGUGAGAUUUAUGCAAAUUUGUUUAUUUGAGUGAAAAGUGAUAUUAUAUCACAACUUCUAGCCGUCAGUGGUAUCAAAACCAAGAAAGAAUAAAAAAAAAUAGCUAUGAAAUCUUCAUUUCCAGUUCGAUAUGGCUUCCUCAACUAGUUUUUUCCAACCACAACUACCAAAGCUGACAAAGGAGAAUUAUGAGAAUUGGAUCAUACAAAUGAAGGCGCCUUAGCAUCCCAAGACCCAUGGGAAAUGGUGGAGAAAAGUUAUACAAAACCUAAGUAUAAUGAAGACGUAUUAUGAGUAGCUGAAAAGGCAGCACUCAAGGAAGCAAGGAAGAAAGAUCAGAAUGCCCUGUAUCUAAUAUAUCAUUAGAUAAAUGGAAUUUUGAGAAGAUUACUUCUAUUACAAACGUAAGAGAAGCAUGGAAUGCACUUCAAAAUUCAUUUCAAGGUAUCGAAAAGACAUGAGAAGUCACCUACAAAUGCUGAAAAGCGAAUUUGAAACAUUGGAGAUGCUUGAUAGUGAGUCAAUCUCGGAGUAUUUUACUCGAGUCCUCACUAUAGUGAACAAUAUCAAGUGCAAUGGAGAAAAGAUCAAAGAUUUGCAGGUAAUAGAAAAAAUUCUUCAUUCUCUAAAUUCGAAGUUUAAUAAUGUAGUCAUAGCGAUUGAGGAAUCUAAAGACCUCAGUACUAUGACUAUUGAUGAACUAUUGGCUUCUCUAGAGACCCAUGAACAAUGGAUCAAUAAAAAAAAAUUUCAUCAAAAUCUCUUGAUCAAGCAUUGCAAUCAAAGCUUUCACUUCAAGAAAAUAAAGAAGAUAAAGGAAAUUCACAA
rnacentral:lncRNA from 1 species